rnacentral:rRNA from 1 species
UUUUGACCUCAAAUCAAGUAAGGAUACCCGCUGAACUUAAGCAUAUCAAUAA